GAACGGUAACAGGAAACAGCUUGCUGUUUCGCUGACGAGUGGCGGACGGGUGAGUAAUGUCUGGGAAACUGCCUGAUGGAGGGGGAUAACUACUGGAAACGGUAGCUAAUACCGCAUAACGUCGCAAGACCAAAGAGGGGGACCCUCGGGCCUCUUGCCAUCGGAUGUGCCCAGAUGGGAUUAGCUUGUUGGUGGGGUAACGGCUCACCAAGGCGACGAUCCCUAGCUGGUCUGAGAGGAUGACCAGCCACACUGGAACUGAGACACGGUCCAGACUCCUACGGGAGGCAGCAGUGGGGAAUAUUGCACAAUGGGCGCAAGCCUGAUGCAGCCAUGCCGCGUGUAUGAAGAAGGCCUUCGGGUUGUAAAGUACUUUCAGCGGGGAGGAAGGGAGUAAAGUUAAUACCUUUGCUCAUUGACGUUACCCGCAGAAGAAGCACCGGCUAACUCCGUGCCAGCAGCCGCGGUAAUACGGAGGGUGCAAGCGUUAAUCGGAAUUACUGGGCGUAAAGCGCACGCAGGCGGUUUGUUAAGUCAGAUGUGAAAUCCCCGGGCUCAACCUGGGAACUGCAUCUGAUACUGGCAAGCUUGAGUCCCGUAGAGGGGGGUAGAAUUCCAGGUGUAGCGGUGAAAUGCGUAGAGAUCUGGAGGAAUACCGGUGGCGAAGGCGGACCCCUGGACGAAGACUGACGCU
rnacentral:rRNA from 1 species